UACGUAGGGGGCAAGCGUUGUCCGGAUUUAUUGGGCGUAAAGAGCUCGUAGGCGGUCUGUCGCGUCGGUCGUGAAAACUUGGGGCUUAACCCUGAGCUUGCGGUCGAUACGGGCAUGACUGGAGUUCGGCAGGGGAGACUGGAAUUCCUGGUGUAGCGGUGAAAUGCGCAGAUAUCAGGAGGAACACCGGUGGCUAAGGCGGCUCUCUAGUACGGUACUGACGCUGAGACGCGAAAGCGUGGGGAGCGAACAGG
rnacentral:rRNA from 1 species